UACCAGCACCCCGAGUGGUCGGGACGAUUAUUGGGCCUAAAGCAUCCGUAGCCGGUCCUGCAAGUCUUCCGUUAAAUCCAGCUGCUCAACAGAUGGGCUGCGGGGGAUACUACAGGGCUAGAAGGCGGGAGAGGCAAGCGGUACUUUAUGGGUAGGGGUAAAAUCCGUUGAUCCAUAGAAGACCACCAGUGGCGAAGGCGGCUUGCCAGAACGCGCUCGACGGUGAGGGAUGAAAGCUGGGGGAGCAAACGGG
rnacentral:rRNA from 1 species